GACGAACGCUGGCGGCGUGCUUAACACAUGCAAGUCGAACGAAGAGCGACGGAAGCUUGCUUCUAUCAAUCUUAGUGGCGAACGGGUGAGUAACGCGUAAUCAACCUGCCCUUCAGAGGGGGACAACAGUUGGAAACGACUGCUAAUACCGCAUACGAUCUAACCUCGGCAUCGAGGAUAGAUGAAAGGUGGCCUCUACAUGUAAGCUAUCACUGAAGGAGGGGAUUGCGUCUGAUUAGCUAGUUGGAGGGGUAACGGCCCACCAAGGCGAUGAUCAGUAGCCGGUCUGAGAGGAUGAACGGCCACAUUGGGACUGAGACACGGCCCAGACUCCUGCGGGAGGCAGCAGUGGGGAAUCUUCCGCAAUGGACGAAAGUCUGACGGAGCAACGCCGCGUGAGUGAUGACGGCCUUCGGGUUGUAAAGCUCUGUUAAUCGGGACGAAAGGCCUUCUUGCGAAUAGUGAGAAGGAUUGACGGUACCGGAAGAGAAAGCCACGGCUAACUACGUG
rnacentral:rRNA from 1 species